rnacentral:rRNA from 1 species
UACGAAGGCCCCAAGCGUUAUCCGGAUUUAUUGGGCGUAAAGCGUGCGUAGGAGGUUUAGUGAGUCCAUUGUUAAAUUCUGCUGCUUAACGGCAGAGCUGCAACGGAUACUACUAGACUAGAGUGUGCGAGAGGCUAAUAGAACUCACGGUGUAGGGGUGAAAUCCGUUGAUAUCGUGGGGAAUACCAAAGGCGAAGGCAUUUAGCUGGCGCAUUACUGACUCUAAGGCACGAAAGCGUGGGGAG